UCAGAAAGAGAAAGAAGGUGAACCAAAUCCAGAAGUUUUAACUGCUGAGUUCUUUACUCCAAGCGAAAACCAAACAGAGGAGUUCACCCAAACCGAAAAGCUCGAUUCAGAAGAUCAGAGGACCCAGAAGCUCGAUUCAGAAGCUCAGAUGACCCAGAAGCUCGAUUCAGAAGCUCAGAUGCUCGAUUCAGAAGAUCAGAUGACCUAGAAGCUCGAUUCAGCUGUUGAUGUGAUGAAGAGAACCUUCCUCAUGAAGGUGGCGAUGAAGAGAAACUUCCUCAGGAAGAUGGCAAUCAAAGUCAUCAUGUCGAUGAAGGUGAAAAUCUAAAUGAUGGACUUGAUAAAGAAGAAGAUGACGAACAAAGUCAUUAUGUACCUGAAGGAGUAAGCCCAAAUGAUGGUGAUGAUGAAAAAGAAGACAAACAGAAUCCACAAGACGAGGGACCAUCAUUUGAUCUUAAAUGUUUUAGUUCAUCUGAGG